rnacentral:tRNA from 1 species
GCUGCUGUAGCUCAGUGGUAGAGCGCAUCCUUGGUAAGGAUGAGGUCAAGGGUUCAAAUCCCUUCAGCAGCUC